ACGGGUGAGUAACACGUAUGCAAUCCACCUGUAACAGGGGGAGUAACCCGGAGAAAUCCGGACUAAUACCCCAUAAUAUGGGCGCUCCGCAUGGAGAGUCCAUUAAAGAGAGCAAUCUUGGUUACAGACGAGCAUGCGCUCCAUUAGCCAGUUGGCGGGGUAACGGCCCACCAAAGCACGAUGGAUAGGGGUUCUGAGAGGAAGGUCCCCCACAUUGGAACUGAGACACGGUCCAA
rnacentral:rRNA from 1 species